rnacentral:snRNA from 1 species
AUACUUAUCUGGCAGGGGAGACACCAUGAUUAGGCAGGUCGCUUUCCCAGGGUGAGGCUCAUACCUUGCAUUCUGGGUGUGCUGACCCCAUAAUAAUAUAAUCCCCCAAAUGUGAGAAACUUGACUCCAAAAUCUGUGGUAGUGGAGGACUGCAUUUGUGACUUUUG